AUUGAACGCUGGCGGCAUGCCUUACACAUGCAAGUCGAACGGCAGCACGGGUGCUUGCACCUGGUGGCGAGUGGCGAACGGGUGAGUAAUACAUCGGAACGUACCUUAUCGUGGGGGAUAACGCAGCGAAAGCUGUGCUAAUACCGCAUACGCCCUGAGGGGGAAAGCGGGGGAUCGCAAGACCUCGCGCGAUUAGAGCGGCCGAUGCCUGAUUAGCUUGUUGGUGGGGUAAAAGCCCACCAAGGCGACGAUCAGUAGCUGGUCUGAGAGGACGAUCAGCAACACUGGGACUGGGACACGGCCCAGACUCCUACGGGAGGCAGCAGUGGGGAAUUUUGGACAAUGGGAGCAACCCUGAUCCAGCAAUGCCGCGUGAGUGAAGAAGGCCUUCGGGUUGUAAAGCUCUUUUGUCAGGGAAGAAACACCGGCUCUAACACAGUCUGGGAAUGACGGUACCUGAAGAAUAAGCACCGGCUAACUACGUGCCAGCAGCCGCCGUAA
rnacentral:rRNA from 1 species